GCCUCCCGCUAUUGGAUGAGCCUAUGUCGGAUUAGCUAGUUGGUGAGGUAAUGGCUCACCAAGGCAACGAUCCGUAGCUGGUCUGAGAGGAUGAUCAGCCACAUUGGGACUGAGACACGGCCCGGACUCCUACGGGAGGCAGCAGUGGGGAAUAUUGGACAAUGGGGGCAACCCUGAUCCAGCCAUGCCGCGUGUGUGAAGAAGGCCUUCGGGUUGUAAAGCACUUUCAGCGAGGAAGAACGCCUGUCGGUUAAUACCCGUUAGGAAAGACAUCACUCGCAGAAGAAGCACCGGCUAACUCCGUGCCAGCAGCCGCGGUAAUACGGAGGGUGCAAGCGUUAAUCGGAAUUACUGGGCGUAAAGCGCGCGUAGGUGGCUUGAUAAGCCGGUUGUGAAAGCCCCGGGCUCAACCUGGGAACGGCAUCCGGAACUGUCAGGCUAGAGUGCAGGAGAGGAAGGUAGAAUUCCCGGUGUAGCGGUGAAAUGCGUAGAGAUCGGGAGGAAUACCAGUGGCGAAGGCGGCCUUCUGGACUGACACUGACACUGAGGUGCGAAAGCGUGGGUAGCAAACAGGAUUAGAUACCCUGGUAGUCCACGCCGUAAACGAUGUCGACCAGCCGUUGGGUGCCUAGAGAACUUUGUGGCGCAGUUAACGCGAUAAGUCGACCGCCUGGGGAGUACGGCCGCAAGGUUAAAACUCAAAUGAAUUGACGGGGGCCCGCACAAGCGGUGGAGCAUGUGGUUUAAUUCGAUGCAACGCGAAGAACCUUACCUACCCUUGACAUCUACAGAAGCCUGAAGAGAUUCAGGUGUGCCUUCGGGAACUGUAAGACAGGUGCUGCAUGGCUGUCGUCAGCUCGUGUUGUGAAAUGUUGGGUUAAGUCCCGUAACGAGCGCAACCCUUGUCCUUAUUUGCCAGCGAGUAAUGUUGGGAACUCUAAGGAGACUGCCGGUGACAAACCGGAGGAAGGUGGGGACGACGUCAAGUCAUCAUGGCCCUUACGGGUAGGGCUACACACGUGCUACAAUGGCCGGUACAAAGGGCUGCGAGCUCGCGAGAGUCAGCGAAUCUCUUAAAGCCGGUCUCAGUCCGGAUCGGAGUCUGCAACUCGACUCCGUGAAGUCGGAAUCGCUAGUAAUCGUGAAUCAGAAUGUCACGGUGAAUACGUUCCCGGGCCUUGUACACACCGCCCGUCACACCAUGGGAGUGGACUGCACCAGAAGUGGUUAG
rnacentral:rRNA from 1 species